rnacentral:rRNA from 1 species
GAGUUUGAUCCUGGCUCAGGACGAACGCUUGCGGCGUGCCUAAGAAAUGCAAGUCGAACGGGCAGUCUUCGGACUGCCAGUGGCGAACGGUCGCGUAACACGUAGGCAACCUGCCCUAAAGUGGGGGAUAACAACCCGAAAGGGUUGCUAAUACCGCAUGUGGCCAGUCUCUCGCAUGGGGGACUGUCUGAAGGGUCCGAGUGAUUUCGGACUCGCUUUAGGAUGGGCUUGCGGCCUAUCAGCUAGUUGGUGGGGUAACGGCCUACCAAGGCUUUGACGGGUAGCUGGUCUGAGAGGAUGGUCAGCCGGAUUGGGACUGAGAUACGGCCCAGACUCCUACGGGGGGCAGCAAUUAGGAAUCUUGCGCAAUGGGGGCAACCCUGACGCAGCGACGCCGCGUGAAGGAUGACGGUCUUCGGAUCGUAAACUUCUUUUGUCGGGGAAGAAAACUGACGAUACCCGACGAAUAAGCCCCGGCUAACUACGUGCCAGCAGCCGCGGUAAUACGUAGGGGGCGAGCGUUGUCCGAAGUUACUGGGCGUAAAGCGCGCGUAGGCGGUCCCUUAAGUCUGGUGUGAAAGGUUCAGGGCUCAACCCGAAGAGUGCACUGGAGACUGGGGGACUUGAGUUGGGGAGAGGAGAGUGGAAUUCCUGGUGUAGCGGUGAAAUGCGUAGAUAUCAGGAGGAACACCGAUGGCGAAGGCAGCUCUCUGGCCCCAAACUGACGCUGAGGUGCGAAAGCGUGGGGAGCGAACGGGAUUAGAUACCCCGGUAGUCCACGCCGUAAACGAUGAGUGCUAGGUGUCAGGGGUAUCGACCCCCCUGGUGCCGCAGCUAACGCAUUAAGCACUCCGCCUGGGGAGUACGGCCGCAAGGUUGAAACUCAAAGGAAUUGACGGGGGCCCGCACAAGCGGUGGAGCAUGUGGUUUAAUUCGUCACUAACCGAAGAACCUUACCCAGGCUUGACAUCGCGUGUAAGGCUGUGAAAGCAGCCCCUCCCUUCGGGGACACAAAGACAGGUGUUGCAUGGCUGUCGUCAGCUCGUGGCCUGAAAAUGUUGGGUUAAGUCCCGCAA